rnacentral:rRNA from 1 species
GCAAGUCGAGCGGGGAAGGGUAGCUUGCUACCUGACCUAGCGGCGGACGGGUGAGUAAUGCUUAGGAAUCUGCCUAUUAGUGGGGGACAACAUUCCGAAGGGAAUGCUGAUACCGCAUACGCCCUACGGGGGAAAGCAGGGGAUCUUCGGACCUUGCGCUAAUAGAUGAGCCUAAGUCAGAUUAGCUAGUUGGUGGGGUAAAGGCCUACCAAGGCGACGAUCUGUAGCGGGUCUGAGAGGAUGAUCCGCCACACUGGGACUGAGACACGGCCCAGACUCCUACGGGAGGCAGCAGUGGGGAAUAUUGGACAAUGGGCGAAAGCCUGAUCCAGCCAUGCCGCGUGUGUGAAGAAGGCCUUUUGGUUGUAAAGCACUUUAAGCGAGGAGGAGGCUACUUGGAUUAAUACUCUAGGAUAGUGGACGUUACUCGCAGAAUAAGCACCGGCUAACUCUGUGCCAGCAGCCGCGGUAAUACAGAGGGUGCGAGCGUUAAUCGGAUUUACUGGGCGUAAAGCGUGCGUAGGCGGCUUUUUAAGUCGGAUGUGAAAUCCCUGAGCUUAACUUAGGAAUUGCAUUCGAUACUGGGAAGCUAGAGUAUGGGAGAGGAUGGUAGAAUUCCAGGUGUAGCGGUGAAAUGCGUAGAGAUCUGGAGGAAUACCGAUGGCGAAGGCAGCCAUCUGGCCUAAUACUGACGCUGAGGUACGAAAGCAUGGGGAGCAAACAGGAUUAGAUACCCUGGUAGUCCAUGCCGUAAACGAUGUCUACUAGCCGUUGGGGCCUUUGAGGCUUUAGUGGCGCAGCUAACGCGAUAAGUAGACCGCCUGGGGAGUAC